AAUACAGGUUUAUGGGGAGGCAUGGUUUGUUUUUUUUUUUGCAGGUAAAAAUUAUACUUUUAUUUGAGUCACCAGGAGAAAGAUUCACUUGUGGUCCAAGUCAAAUGUUCAGAAUCAUAACAGGCCAGAAAGAUUUGAUCCCAAGCACAAGCCCACGAGGGAGGGGACCAAAACAGACCAAGAAAAGACAACCACCCCAUAUAAAAAGAUGGAUGGACGGCUUCACACACACACACGCACGCACAUACACACAGGUGAAAUGUUUGGACAGAAGCAAAUUCCACGUGAUCAUUUCUAUUUCUUUUUAAAUACAGGUUUGUGGGGUGGUAUUUUUUUUUCCAGCUAUUAAAAAAAAAAAAAAAAAAGGCCCAAAAGUGCAUAUGUGAGGGGGAAAAGGCAGAAA